rnacentral:rRNA from 1 species
AUGCUUACCAUGCAGUCGAACGGCAGCACGGGGCAACCUGGUGGCGAGUGGCGAACGGGUGAGUAAUAUAUCGGAACGUGCCCAAUCGUGGGGGAUAACGUAGCGAAAGUUACGCUAAUACCGCAUACGAUCUACGGAUGAAAGCGGGGGAUCGCAAGACCUCGCGCGAAUGGAGCGGCCGAUAUCAGAUUAGGUAGUUGGUGGGGUAAAGGCUCACCAAGCCAACGAUCUGUAGCUGGUCUGAGAGGACGACCAGCCACACUGGAACUGAGACACGGUCCAGACUCCUACGGGAGGCAGCAGUGGGGAAUUUUGGACAAUGGGCGCAAGCCUGAUCCAGCCAUUCCGCGUGCAGGAUGAAGGCCUUCGGGUUGUAAACUGCUUUUGUACGGAACGAAACGGUCUGCCCUAAUACGGCGGGCUAAUGACGGUACCGUAAGAAUAAGCACCGGCUAACUACGUGCCAGCAGCCGCGGUAAUACGUAGGGUGCAAGCGUUAAUCGGAAUUACUGGGCGUAAAGCGUGCGCAGGCGGUUAUAUAAGACAGAUGUGAAAUCCCCGGGCUCAACCUGGGAACUGCAUUUGUGACUGUAUAGCUAGAGUACGGCAGAGGGGGAUGGAAUUCCGCGUGUAGCAGUGAAAUGCGUAGAUAUGCGGAGGAACACCGAUGGCGAAGGCAAUCCCCUGGGCCUGUACUGACGCUCAUGCACGAAAGCGUGGGGAGCAAACAGGAUUAGAUACCCUGGUAGUCCACGC